rnacentral:rRNA from 1 species
GAUGAACGCUGGCGGCGUGCUUAACACAUGCAAGUCGAACGGAAAGGCUCCUGCUUGCUGGGGUACUCGAGUGGCGAACGGGGGAGUAACACGUGGGUGAUCUGCCCUGCACUUUGGGAUAAGCUUGCGAAACUGGGCCUAAUAUCGUAUAGGACGACGGUUUGGAUUCCAUUGUGGAGAGUUUUUCGGUUUGGGAUGAGCUCGCGGCCUAUCAGCUUGUUGGUGGGGUAAUGGCCUACCAAGGCGUCGACGGGUAGCCGGCCUGAGAGGGUGUACGGCCACAUUGGGACUGAGAUACGGCCCAGACUCGUACGGGAGGCAGCAGUGGGGAAUAUUGCACAAUGGGCGCAAGCCUGAUGCAGCGACGCCGCGUGGGGGAUGACGGCCUUCGGGUUGUAAACAGCUUUCGCUAGGGACGAAGCGGAAGUGACGGUACCUGGAGAAGAAGCACCGGCUAACUACGUG